AUAUUUUGAGUGUCUGUUUCAUGCUCAUUAUCAUCUCGUUCUGUAGUGUCAUCUCCAUGUCCAUCCUCUAUGUGCUCAAUCUUCAACACCAUGGACGCAUAAGUGAUGUUGAGGGCCGGUCUCGUUCUGCUUUGGGUUCAGCUCGUCAGGCUUCUUUCUCCCCUGCCAGAGUGACCACAUCCACUCUCUCCCCAGGUUCCAGAAAACACACUCAUGCUCACAAUACAGCUGUUGUGUUUUUUUUGCAAUACACAUAUGUGGAUUAUUACUUUCAUAGAAGUUCAUUAUCUGUUUACAGACUCCACCGCCCCAUCAUUGUCCAAUCACCCGCCCUGCUGCCCUCCAACACCUGCCACAACCAACCAAUCAGCCACUAUCAGUCUGUUGCCAGGCAACAACCAAUCCACUCCAGACUCCAGCACUGGUGUUCCCACCCAGGCCACUAUUAACAAGAAGGCAAAGUCUCGGCCGCUGGACAAAGACAACCGGAAUAAGAACCGUCUGAGUCACACGUCAGCUCCUCUGUUCCUCAGUAAAGGCAAACGGCCGCCUCAGCCUCCAGAGCUGAGAGGAGCAACCAAACACUUGCCUGGUGGACAACAGCCACCGUCCCGGAGACAGCGC
rnacentral:lncRNA from 1 species